UGUUUCGGCUAGGGGGCCAUCCCGGCUUACCAACCCGAUGCAAACUGCGAAUACCGGAGAAUGUUAUCACGGGAGACACACGGCGGGUGCUAACGUCCGUCGUGAAGAGGGAAACAACCCAGACCGCCAGCUAAGGUCCCAAAGUCAUGGUUAAGUGGGAAACGAUGUGGGAAGGCCCAGACAGCCAGGAUGUUGGCUUAGAAGCAGCCAUCAUUUAAAGAAAGCGUAAUAGCUCACUGGUCGAGUCGGCCUGCGCGGAAGAUGUAACGGGGCUAAACCAUGCACCGAAGCUGCGGCAGCGACACUGUGUGUUGUUGGGUAGGGGAGCGUUCUGUAAGCCUGUGAAGGUGUGUCGUGAGGCAUGCUGGAGGUAUCAGAAGUGCGAAUGCUGACAUAAGUAACGAUAAAGCGGGUGAAAAGCCCGCUCG
rnacentral:rRNA from 1 species